CGACCGGCGCACGGGUGAGUAACACGUAUGCAACCUGGCCGUGACAGAUGGAUAACCGGGAGAAAUCCCGCCUAAUACAGCAUGACGCCGCGGGAGGACAUCCUCCCGCGGCCAAAGGGCGACCCGGUCACGGAUGGGCAUGCGGCGCAUUAGGUAGUUGGUGGGGCAACGGCCCACCAAGCCGACGAUGCGUAGGGGUUCUGAGAGGAAGGUCCCCCACAUUGGAACUGAGACACGGUCCAAACUCCUACGGAAGGCAGCAG
rnacentral:rRNA from 1 species